rnacentral:rRNA from 1 species
CUAGUGGCGCACGGGUGCGUAACGCGUGGGAAUCUGCCCUUUGCUACGGAAUAACUCAGAGAAAUUUGUGCUAAUACCGUAUGAUGUCGCAAGACCAAAGAUUUAUCGGCAAAGGAUGAGCCCGCGUAAGAUUAGCUUGUUGGUGAGGUAAAAGCUCACCAAGGCGACGAUCUUUAGCUGGUCUGAGAGGAUGAUCAGCCACACUGGGACUGAGACACGGCCCAGACUCCUACGGGAGGCAGCAGUGGGGAAUAUUGGACAAUGGGCGAAAGCCUGAUCCAGCAAUGCCGCGUGAGUGAUGAAGGCCUUAGGGUUGUAAAGCUCUUUUACCAGGGAUGAUAAUGACAGUACCUGGAGAAUAAGCUCCGGCUAACUCCGUGCCAGCAGCCGCGGUAAUACGGAGGGAGCUAGCGUUGUUCGGAAUUACUGGGCGUAAAGCGUGCGUAGGCGGUUAUUCAAGUCAGAGGUGAAAGCCUGGAGCUCAACUCCAGAACUGCCUUUGAAACUAGAUAACUAGAAUCUUGGAGAGGUGAGUGGAAUUCCGAGUGUAGAGGUGAAAUUCGUAGAUAUUCGGAAGAACACCAGUGGCGAAGGCGACUCACUGGACAAGUAUUGACGCUGAG